AACGAACGUUGGCGGCAGGCUUAACACAUGCAAGUCGAACGCAUCCUUCGGGGUGAGUGGCAGACGGGUGAGUAACGCGUGGGAAUGUGCCCUUCAGUUCGGGAUAACCCAGGGAAACUUGGGCUAAUACCGGAUACGUGCGAGAGCAGAAAGAUUUAUCGCUGAAGGAUCGGCCCGCGUCUGAUUAGCUAGUUGGUGGGGUAAUGGCCCACCAAGGCGACGAUCAGUAGCUGGUCUGAGAGGAUGAUCAGCCACAUUGGGACUGAGACACGGCCCAAACUCCUACGGGAGGCAGCAGUGGGGAAUAUUGGACAAUGGGCGCAAGCCUGAUCCAGCCAUGCCGCGUGAGUGAUGAAGGCCUUAGGGUUGUAAAGCUCUUUCGUCCGGGACGAUAAUGACGGUACCGGAAGAAGAAGCCCCGGCUAACUUCGUGCCAGCAGCCGCCGUAA
rnacentral:rRNA from 1 species